UGGAAGCUCACAGGCCAACUAGUCUGGAGUAUGCAAUGCGGCAGCAGACUCAGGAGACACCCUGCCCAAAGAAGGUGAAAAACAGAUACACUGGCCAGUGGGUGAGACUGUCAGCCUGAGGCUGGACUCCACUGGCACUUCCUCAUCACCGCUCACCAGGCUUUGGCAACAGCAAAGGGAAAAUGAGAAGCUUCCUCCAUUUGAUUCUACAAAUGAGAAGAGUCUGGCUAACAAAAGAGAUGAUACCAAGGAUGUAAAGAGAAGAAGAACACAUAGAAUCUAGAAAGCAGAGUUCAGACAGCUAAAAUGCAUGGAGAAGGAGAAAGGUGACAAAGAGCAAAGUGAAAACAGCUAACAGCGCCAAUCCCAGAACUUCUUUGGGGAGAGGAAACCAAAUCUUCAGCACAAGAGCUUGCAGCUACAGGAGACUGAUGAUGACGCUCUGCUCCAGCAGCACACAGAGCACCUUCCAGUACUAUGAAGCUGUCUAGAAAGGAUGAAGCUUCCAGGUCAGCUUGAUUUUUCCAUAUUUUAUCACUCAGGUAUGUGAUUUCCUUACUAAUAUUCUUUAAAACUCUAAAGACCUUUUGUAUGUGUUUUGCUUGCAUAUAUGGGCUCGGUGCCCAGGGAGGCCAU